rfam:Clostridium sp. CAG:264 genomic scaffold, scf76
UGAAGUCUUCAGGGCGGGGCUCAUUUCCCCACCGGCGGUAUACAUAGUAAUCUAUGUGAGCCCGCGAGCCGUAAGGCAUGAUUUGGUGAGAAUCCAAAGCCGACAGUAAAGUCUGGAUGAAAGAAGAAUGCA